UGAGCAACUGCCUCACUCCCUCCUGGGCCCCUAGGCCACUCACAGCCUACUUUUUCUUUUUCAUUUUAAAGACAAAACUUCCCAUUGAAAACCAGAAUGUUUAUUUGCAGGUUUUACAGCUAGCAAAUCCUUUGGUACCAGGGAGUGCAGGAUCUGUGGGGGAAGAGCUGAGGCUUGGGCUGAAUGCCCAGGACUCAGCUUUGCAACCAGCCAAGAGCCUGGAGACCCAACCCCCUGAAAGGGCCUUUUCAAGGUUUCCUGCCUGUUCAAAUCUGCCUGGUACCUAGAGCUGUCUGUUUCUUAUAUUUUGGGGAGACAAACACUCAGAUGACACAUGGCGGCCUGAGUUAUGCUUGUUUUAAAAUGCAUGGCAUUUAAUAAUCCUGCCGGAACACACUCUUCUUGCUGCAUUAGGAUCCAACUGGAAAAUAUAAAGACGAAUUGCUGUAGGCUGGAAAAUCAAUUAGGAAAAAGAGCUGAGCAUGUUGAGGCUGAGCGUAUUCCCAAAUCCACAUAGCUGGGAAGGAACCGACAUGGGAGUCUGUGACUAGUGCCUUUCUACUGCCCCAUGCAGGGGAAGCUGAGCCAUCAAAGUAGGAUUUACUAGAACUGCCCCUGCUUUUCUAACAGUCUCCAGCUGAAAGCAAACUCCUGCCUCCUUACCCCCCACCCACCCAUCACCCAGCCAAACCUGUCACAGAUUCCUUCUGACACCCUCUGACUGAGACACCCUGGUGUGUGUUCUCGCUCGCUGCAGGGAUUAAGAAACUCAACUUUACUCAGCUACAGGUGUGUUCUUGGUGGUCUCUGCUGAACAACGCUGACCCUGGUUCAGGGUCCCACGGUCAAUGAAGGAUGAAGACCGGAUUCAAACUCAGGAAGCGGGCUUUUCUGGUUCCUGUAUGCUACCACCUGGGACUUCCUGUCUAGGAGAGCUGCAAGAACGAAUCCUCUCAGCACUGUAAAAUGCCCCAGCCCCCAGGAAGUGCUCAUCCAGAGCUCUGGCUCCACUCACGUGGCCUUGAAUGUGCUAUUACACUCUGGACUUCCACGUGCUCAGAAAUCAUCCCAGCUAGGUGGCUGUCUACUUGCUGACUGAAAGAGGAGACAGUGAAAUCUAACACCCGUCAUCUGUCAUGUGGUCACACCCCUUGGCCAAGCCAGCAGUGUGGCCCACGGCCUGCACAGAGACUGCCCCACCCACAGCCCUGCCCUCUCGGUGCCUGGCACAUCGAGGCUGCCAUGUGUUCUGUUAGCAAGGACAGCUGAGCCCCUUUCCCAGCAUUGUCCUUUGUUCCUGAUGGUUUCUCUACAGCAGUGUCCUUGAUCCCAGCAGGACACUGGCCUGAGAUUUAAGACUCUCUCAGACUCCAUGGAGCCCAGCAGUCCACAUACCUGAUGGCUUUUGACCUAGACUUUGGCAUUGCUCCCACCUGACAGCAUCUGGCACCAACACCAGGGGAUCAUCUUGCCUCUGCAGCUGCUAAGAUAGCAACAAUUACUGCGGCCACCCGUGACCGGCACCAUUUACAAAAGAUUGUUCUGUACAUUUUUUAUCCCUCUUUGAUCCUGAAAGCUCUCCUUUGUGGCCCAAUUCGUCCACUCCCUGGACCCUGACCCAGGAGAACUUUCAAGACACAGGGAGAAGGUGGCAUCCAUGAGCCAGGAAGGGAUCCCUCACAGAAUCGCCUGCACUGAUGCGCCAACCUCGGACUUCUGACCUCCAGAAUGAGACAGCAGGGCUGCCAGCCUCAGGAGCCUUGAAGGUUCGUUCAGCCUCUUCCUUCAUUCCUCGCUCCCCCGAAUCCCAUUCUGGAUUGCUGCAAGGAGGAGGAUGCCCCCAACCACGCCGUUAGAUUGCUGCGCCCAGAGGGAGUGGCUGUAAUUGCUUUUCCUCGGCCCAGCUUGGGAGAAGGCCGGUUCCUUCCUUGGACUUGCCUGAAUGCCUGAAUUGUCACAGCCCCUGCCCCUCACUGGGCCAUGCCUAGAGCUCGGACUUCCCCUCCUUCCCCACACAGCACCCUGCUCUGCCCUGGCCCUGUUGCCGCAGGCCCAGAGUGCAGGGAUGUGUGGGCCCGUGGCAGCGGGAUCGUGAGCUGGAUUGUGAGCAAACCUUCCCAGAUCCUUAGAGCCCCUUAGAACGUGAGAGCCACUGGGCAACUGAAAGCAUUCCCAGAACCAGAGAAUCACAGAAAAAUAGACUCUCAAGUUUGGAAAAGCUCUUUAAAGUCAUCCACCUCUUUCCAGCACUGUGGCCUCGCCUUCCUCGCUGCUUUCUUCAGCCGCUGUGUCCUUGAGAGGGAGAUAUUCCCGGGGCUUCUUUCCAUCCUGGGUCUCUGGGAGACCACACUUUUCAGCCCUUUUUGCAGUUAGGAGGGGGGAUCAUAGGCAUUGAAAUAUGGCCUAUGAAAUAUGAGCAAAAGUAAUGUAUGUCACACUUCUGAGGAGUCCCUGUGGGCCCAGUGUCCCUCUUCCCUUUCAGCGUUGGUGGCAGACAAGUGCUUGUGCUGGGAUGGCAGAGUCCUGGAUCAGAGCAGCCUGACCCGGCAAGACACUGCAAGGAGACAGAGCCCCGGGGAGAUGCCCACGCUGCAGCACGAGCCAGGGGCAGCUUGGUGAGAUUUGGGGACCGAUUGCUACAGGCUGCUGCAUACGUCCCGGAGAGCAUUUCUGGACUGUGUCCCAGACUUCCAGCGGUGGGGACUCACCCUCUCCCCAGGAGCCCAAGGCUGUUGGGUUCAUUGCUGAGCAGCUGUCAGUUGGAAAGUUCAUUUUUCCUUUGAACUGAAACCUGCUUCCUCAAAACUCCAUGUUUCCUACCCCAAGUAGGUGAAGUUUAUCUGGGGACUCUGGGGUUCUCACUCAAACUUCGGCAUGCAUCUGAAUCACCUGGAGGGCUUGUUAAAACACGGUUCACUGCGCUCCAGCCCCAACUUCUGAUUCAGUGGAUGUUAACUGUUUGUGUCCUGCCCCCACUCAUAUGUUGGAAUCCUAACCCCUAAGGUGAUGGUAUUAGGAGAGGCCUCUGGGGGGUGAUUAGGUCACAAGGGCGGAGCCCUCAUGAAUGGGAUUAGUGUCCUCCUAAAAGGAACCCCAGGGAGCUCUCUCACCCUCUUCCUGCCCCGUGAGGAUACAAUGGCAAGGAUGUUAUCUGCAGUCAGAAGAGGACACUCACCAGAACAACAGUGCUAUGCUGGGACAUUGAUCUCGGGCUUCCAGCCUCCAGAGUGUGAGAGAGAAAUCCCUGCUGUUUAUAAGCCACCCAGUCUAUGGAACUUUGUUAUAGCAUCACAAACUAAGACAGGUUUGGGGCAGGACCUGGAAAUUUGCAUUUUUAGUGAGUUCCCAAGGGCUGCUGAUGCAGGUGGUCUGGAGACCACACUGUGAGAGCAACUACUGUAUACCUUCUGUUAGAUCUCCCCAGGAGCCUCUUAGUGCAUGUCACUCAUGACUGCAGAGGUGCCUCCACCCUGCCCAGCCCCACAGAGCAGAGCCCCAUGCUCUGAUCCCCCAUGCUGGUCUGGGCGGGUCUGAAUCUGGCCCUUUGCGGGGCCCACCGUGUAUUCAUCCCUGCAAUCCUUGGCCUGACGUGGGCCGGUCACAGCAGUAAGUAGGUGCUCAGUGGCUGUUUACUGAGUGCAUGGAUGUGUGAAACAGGAGGGACACCUUGUCCUCACUUCUGAAAUCUCUCACUAAUCUUUAGGCUCCCGGUACAGAGACCCCUGGGGAGCUCAUGCUGCCCACCGUGCAGGCGUCAGGGCUGAGCCAGCUUAUAGCCAUGUUGGAGAGUAGAUGGUGGGCAGGCAGUGGGCUGCACCCUCCCUCUAGGAGGGCUGUAAGCCUGGGGGCCCAAGGCGUGUGUGUAUGGGGGUGCGCUGCCUAUUCCUGUAAGGACCCAGCUUGGCAAGCCCACACUUGCCGUCGGGUCUGCAGAUGACUCCCCGAGUGCUCACACCGGCCAGUUCUGACUUCUGGGAAGGAUUGUACUGUCUCUCGGAUUUUGCAAACACAGACAGGCCAGCUCAUGCUUGGCUGCAUUGCAGAUGGUGUGGGCUUGGAUUCCUCGGGGGUCUGCUGGGCCAGGUCCUCAGCUUUUCUGCCUGAAAUCAAUGCAUCACAUCUCAAGGCACUGCUUCUUGGUCAAGGAUCAAAGUCAAGGCCAACUUUGGGAUGUCCCACCCUAUUCCCAGGAGACGGCUGACCCUCUGGAAGUCCAUGAGGCCUUAACUCUCCUCCUUCCUCCCUCCUUCCUCCUCCUCAUACUGUCCCCCUUCCCCUCCCAUUGCCCCCGCCUCAUCUGU